UCUCUUCAGCAGCACACAUACUAAAAUUGGAGAUAUCAAGGGAUUA
rnacentral:snRNA from 1 species